rnacentral:lncRNA from 1 species
UAGCAGUCUCCGGCUUCUUAUUAGCUGGCGUAGCAGCAGUCGGAACCGGCUUGGGGGACAGAGGGAACGGAGUUGAGAGGCGAUCCGCCGGACUUGUGGAGAAGAUGGCGGAAACCAAGUGAAGAGGAGAGAGAGAUGGAGGCUGAUGGGCCUUUAUUUAGGUACACUUUAGCCACUACUUAAGCCCAAAUUCUUUGUUUGGCCCAUUUUCCUUAUAAUUAGGUCCAACAUCAGUCAGGCCCAAUUUUCUCUUUUUUUUUUUUUUUUUUUUUUAAUGUCAAGUAAAUUCCCAAGUUUUGAAUAUUGCUUGUGUUUUCCUUGCAGUUAAUAGCGAUGAGAGUUUGGCGAUGACAAUCUUGGGGGGUCAUGUUCAAGACUGGCGUAGUCUCAUUAACCAACUUCAUGGCGGAUUUUUCCCCAAACGAGAUGCUUUGAGUAUUUGCAAAGUUCGGAGUCUAUUGUCAUUAUUUCUUCCAGUCUUGACAUCUCCAUCAGCCCGACUAAAGACUAUCCUCAGAGAGUUCAUCCAAAAAAAAAUUGGCAGCAGCCCAUCUAAGAUCUUAUUUGAGUGAUGUUUACUUUGCACUUCAGGUGGCUCAAUUGGCUUUUAAUCAGAUUUCGGGUGCGCUCGGAUCUGGGCCAUUGUGAGUCCAACCUUUGAAGAUUGCUGGUUACAUCUUCUCUUUGCGUGCAUUUGAGCAGGCUAGAUGACUCAAUGGUGUUCUAUUAUGUCUGGUGAACAUGUGUUUCAACUCCACGAGCGGAUUCAAACGAGAUGCUUUGAGUAUUUGCAAAGUUCGGAGUAUUAUGUACAAGAUUGGCGAAUUAACCAACUUCAUGGAAGAUUUUGCCCCAAACGAGAUGCUUUGAGUAUUUGCAAAGUUCGGAGUCUAUUGUCAUUAUUUCUUUCAGUCUUGACAUCUCCAUCAGCCCGACUAAAGACUAUCCUCAGAGAGUUCAUCCAAAAAAAAUUGGCAGCAGCCCAUCUAAGAUCUUAUUUGAGUGAUGUUUACUUUGCACUUCAGGUGGCUCAAUUGGCUUUUAAUCAGAUUUCGGGUGCGCUCGGAUCUGGGCCAUUGUGAGUCCAACCUUUGAAGAUUGCUGGUUACAUCUUCUCUUUGCGUGCAUUUGAGCAGGCUAGAUGACUCAAUGGUGUUCUAUUAUGUCUGGUGAACAUGUGUUUCAACUCCACGAGCGGAUUCAACUUUAGCUUGGAGAGAAGUGAAGUUGUUGAUGCAUAGCCGACCUCAAUGGCAGAUGACUCAAUUCUUUGACAG